rnacentral:rRNA from 1 species
AGUGAACGCUGGCGGUAGGCCUAACACAUGCAAGUCGAACGGCAGCACAGUAAGAGCUUGCUCUUACGGGUGGCGAGUGGCGGACGGGUGAGGAAUACAUCGGAAUCUACUUUUUCGUGGGGGAUAACGUAGGGAAACUUACGCUAAUACCGCAUACGACCUACGGGUGAAAGCAGGGGAUCUUCGGACCUUGCGCGAUUGAAUGAGCCGAUGUCGGAUUAGCUAGUUGGCGGGGUAAAGGCCCACCAAGGCGACGAUCCGUAGCUGGUCUGAGAGGAUGAUCAGCCACACUGGAACUGAGACACGGUCCAGACUCCUACGGGAGGCAGCAGUGGGGAAUAUUGGACAAUGGGCGCAAGCCUGAUCCAGCCAUACCGCGUGGGUGAAGAAGGCCUUCGGGUUGUAAAGCCCUUUUGUUGGGAAAGAAAAGCAGCAGGUUAAUACCCCGCUGUUCUGACGGUACCCAAAGAAUAUGCACCGGCUAACUUCGU